rnacentral:rRNA from 1 species
CACGCCGUAAACGAUGAGUACUAGGUGUAGGGGGUAUCGACCCCCCCUGUGCCGCAGUAAACACAAUAAGUACUCCGCCUGGGAAGUACGGUCGCAAGACUGAAACUUAAAGGAAUUGACGGGUCCCCGCACAAGCAGUGGAGCAUGAGGUUUAAUUCGACGCUACGCGAAGAACCUUACCAGAACUUGACAUGGCGGAUAAUGCUGCAGAAAUGCAGAGAUAAUACCCGCACACAGGUGG